UACAGGGGGUGCAAGCGUUGCUCGGAAUCAUUGGGCGUAAAGCGCACGUAGGCGGUCUGUUAUGUCGGAUGUGAAAGCCCUUGGCUUAACUGAGGAAGUGCAUCCGAAACUGGCAGGCUAGAGUACUAAAGAGGGUCGCGGAAUUCCCGGUGUAGAGGUGAAAUUCGUAGAUAUCGGGAGGAACACCGGUGGCGAAGGCGGCGACCUGGGUAGAUACUGACGCUGAGGUGCGAAAGCGUGGGGAGCGAACAGG
rnacentral:rRNA from 1 species